UACGAAGGUGCAAGCGUUAAUCGGAAUUACUGGGCGUAAAGCGUGCGUAGGCGGUUGGCUAAGUCAGAUGUGAAAGCCCUGGGCUCAACCUGGGAAUGGCAUUUGAAACUGGCUGGCUAGAGUGUGAUAGAGGAUGGCGGAAUUCCCGGUGUAGCGGUGAAAUGCGUAGAGAUCGGGAGGAACAUCCGUGGCGAAGGCGGCCAUCUGGAUCAACACUGACGCUGAGGCACGAAAGCGUGGGGAGAAACAGG
rnacentral:rRNA from 1 species